rnacentral:rRNA from 1 species
AGUGAACGCUGGCGGUAGGCCUAACACAUGCAAGUCGAACGGCAGCACAGUAAGAGCUUGCUCUUACGGGUGGCGAGUGGCGGACGGGUGAGGAAUACAUCGGAAUCUACUUUUUCGUGGGGGAUAACGUAGGGAAACUUACGCUAAUACCGCAUACGACCUACGGGUGAAAGCAGGGGAUCUUCGGACCUUGCGCGAUUGAAUGAGCCGAUGUCGGAUUAGCUAGUUGGCGGGGUAAAGGCCCACCAAGGCGACGAUCCGUAGCGGGUCUGAGAGGAUGAUCAGCCACACUGGAGCUGAGACACGGUCCAGACUCCUACGGGAGGCAGCAGUGGGGAAUAUUGGACAAUGGGCGCAAGCCUGAUCCAGCCAUACCGCGUGGGUGAAGAAGGCCUUCGGGUUGUAAAGCCCUUUUGUUGGGAAAGAAAAGCAGCAGGUUAAUACCCCGCUGUUCUGACGGUACCCAAAGAAUAAGCACCGGCUAACUUCGUG